UUUUACUUCAAAAAAUGUUCCCGGUUGUUGAAGGAAGAGCCUUGUGCUUUGUCGAUAUAUAUAUAUAUGAGGGAGCCCAACAUCAUAUUUGUAUCCUCUAUCAAAUCUCAUCUAUUCAGUUCUACUUUCCUUAAUUGCUCACGACUAACAUUCCCAGGGGGCCAUAGAAGAAGAUGAAUAGGCCAGGAGACUGGAACUGCCGAUUGUGUAGCCACCUCAACUUCCAGAGAAGGGAUUCCUGCCAGCGUUGCAGAGAGCCAAGGACGAGCGGCAUUACCGACUUAGUGAGCAGUUUCACAAGCCGUCCAAUCAGUAGCUCUUUUGCUUUCAACACCGGGCCUGACGUGAGACCAGGUGAUUGGUACUGCAACCUCGGAAAUUGCGGAACACACAAUUUUGCAAGCAGGUCCAGCUGUUUCACGUGUGGUGCCGCAAAAGAUGAGUCGUCACUCUCGGCUGCUGCUGCAGCCCCCGGGUUUAUAGACAUGAGUGAUGGUCCGAGACGCGGUUUUUUUGGUUUCGGUAGCAGCAGUGGUGGUGGAGGCGGCAUGGGCCGUUCUUCUUGGAAAUCUGGAGAUUGGAUUUGCUCGAGGCCAGGCUGCAAUGAACACAACUUUGCAAGCAGGUCAGAGUGUUUCAGGUGCAACGCCCCAAAGGAACCGGCCACCAAUUCACCCUACUAGUCCUAACUUUCUUCGUCAUCUUCAUGAAAAUGGUGUGUUACUAGACUUUCUUUGGGUAAGUUAGAGAAGAGAUAAAACUAGUGAAGAACCGAAGCAGGAUAACGACCCUUUAUGUCGUGAUUUAUGUUUUUUUUUUUCUUAUGUUGAUUUGACUCGUUUCGUGUCUCGUAUGACUUAUGUCUGGUUAUCUUUGAAUGUAAGAAAAUCAAGUAAAAUUAGGAAGUGUUUUGCUCUUAUAUCGAUCUCCUACUAUGUACGGUUGCUUUAAUGUAUUCUUAUUUUUGAUAAAGUGUUACCCUCUUA